CCUAAGCCUAAGCCUAAGCCUAAGCCUAAGCCUAAGCCUAAGCCUAAGCCUAAGCCUAAGCCUAAGCCUAAGCCUAAGCCUAAGCCUAAGCCUAAGCCUAAGCCUAAGCCUAA
ensembl:ncRNA cTel79B.2 ncRNA